UGCUAUUUUGCAUAGGGUAUUCCAGGGUUUGGAGGAGCAAAGGGGAAGUUUGGCCAGCAUGGAUCAAAGGGUCAGGCUGGCAGCAGAGGCCUGCAGGGACAUAUUGGACCGCGAGGAAUCAAAGGGAAUCCAGGACUGCCGGGGAAUAAAGGGCGGCUAGGUCCAAAAGGCAUACAGG